rnacentral:rRNA from 1 species
UACGAAGGUCCCGAGCGUUGUUCGGAAUCACUGGGCGUAAAGGGAGCGUAGGCGGCGUGGUAAGUCAGAUGUGAAAUCCCGGGGCUCAACCCCGGAACUGCAUCCGAUACUGCCGUGCUUGAGUGAUGGAGAGGUAGCUGGAAUUCAAGGUGUAGCAGUGAAAUGCGUGGAUAUCGUGAGGAACACUCGUGGCGAAAGCGAGCUACUGGACAUUGACUGACGCUGAGGCUAGAAGGCCAGGGGAGCGAAAGGG